CCAUCGCUUAAAGUAAUUUAAUUUCUUAGUUUUCAACUAAUUAACUGAACUCAUUCGAACAUCUUUACGGUCGUAAUAAAAGUUUCUCUCUCUCUUUAUCUCUCUCUUGUAUUUUAUUAACAUUGUGUUAACACUCCUGUCCUACUUGAUGCUAUAUCGAUCGUUUUUGUUUUGGAACCGCCCAGAAUGAAAUGCUCGUGCGCAUUUUAUUGUUGCGUGGAAUGCGCACUGUAUUUUUGUUUACAAAAUUGUUGUUCUUAAUUUAAAAAUACACUAAGCAAAACGGUUCGUGAAUGAUCAGAUCAAAGCUUAAAGUUGCUCCAUCACGAUGAUUCCACCGCACGGGCUAAACAUGCUAAUUCCGACUGCUUACCCUGCCCAGUGACUCACCAGCAACUUCAUUUAGCAUCUCGCUGGUAGCCAUGUGUCCAAUGUCAAAUUGACACCAUCUUCCUUCACACUGCAGCAACAAAGGCAGCGUACGACGCCACAAGAAACCGGUUACAGUUUAACAAACUUUUACAUCGGUGCGGACGUGCAGGUUAUUGCGCCCGGGUUUUUGGUCUAUUUCUAGCACUAGCCUAUGCUCGAAUGGUUCAUGACCAGUUAUGUGAUGUGUUGUACCUUCUCGAAAUGCUACUCUUAAUAGCAUUGCUUUACACUCGUAAGACUCGUGUGUAUUGUUUGAGAAAUUUAUGAUCACAACGGCAAACUCUCAAACUCCGGUGGCAAAUGCAAAUUUUUGCCAGAACAAUGUCUAUCCUUGAAGGAAAAAGUUGGACCUUCGUUUUACUGCCAUAUGAUGUAAUGAAACGUCUCCGUACAAAAACAAUGUAAUGUAUUGUUUGUGGAUAAUGCGUGAAACUGUCGCUAGAUUGUUUGGUUCUGCUAUUUAAGCGAUGUUACUUGCGCUUUGAUAGACAUUACCGCUUUUGUACACCAAUCUGACAGUUGGUAAAAGAUUCGUAACCUUCUGGAAAACGAUGAGAUCCGUUGUGCCGUUACUUGCCAUUGUGCUCGUUGCAUCCUGCCACGGGACGACAACCGAUCGUGAGGAUAUUGCAGGAUCGAAAGAUUCCGCACUGGCUACAUUUCUUCAACCGCUGGAAGUGAGAUUACGUGAUGAUCAAACUAUUCCCGAUCGUCGUUCCAGAGAAUUAAGCUACUUUGGCACUGGUUACAAUUACCAACCGUACGCUGGCCAUCACAAUCCACUGUACACACCGUACAGUCAGCAAGGUAUAUACAGUCCUUACAACACUCCAGCCUAUGGUUUCGGCACCCUGAAUGGAUAUGGUGCCGGAGGUGCAGGGUUCGGUGGCUUUGGGGGUGGAAAUGGUGCCUUCUUCGGUAAUGGAGUUGGAGGUUACCCUGGAACACAGUUCGGAUACUCAGGUUUUGGACAGGGUACGGGAGCGUAUCCAUACGGUGGUGGUUGGAAUGGAGGCCAAAGUCCGUACGGUGGUUAUGGCAGUCAACUCGGAGGCUAUUAUAAUCGAGGAUUGUACGUUUAAUAGGAAAAAAACCACGCGAUAGUUUCAAUGCUCUUGAUGAUGACUGACAAUAAACAUGAGUUUUAGAUUAUUUCUUGCUGCAAAAUGAACUUGAAUAUUUUGUCUUUAAUUGUAGCAGGAUGAAAGGAUUAUUUUGUCUUUGUUCUAAAAAUAUAUAAUAUAUAUGUUCUAAAUAUAUAAUAAACAGAUGAUAAAAUACAACGAUUCGGCGGCAAGAAACGAUAUCAAGGAUCAAGGGAGAAAGUGAGAGUAAAACUAACGGGAGUUCAUCGGGAUCUCCAUAAAGGUGAAUCAAAUGAACCAAGGACACAACAUAAACCAGAAACAACCUACGAAAAGUCGCGUCCUCCAGUGGUACGGAUAAUUACCUAUGUACUUAUCUGGGGUUAUACCCGUUCUGGCCUUCUGCAGGACUCUUCUAAAGCGCUCACGAUUGGUAGGCGUCGUGUGUCAAUUCAUUAUCCCGGCCUUUCUCGCGGACGCAUCAACCCCAUUAUUCCAUCAGAGUUAUAAAUUAUUGAGCAAUACUGCAACCAAUCAAUGUAGUUUUGUAUUCGGACCAAAUUGUUUCGAGAAAUCACGAGUACGAAUUCCAUAGACUCAAACCUUCCCACGAUGGAGCAGCGCAUGCAGAAUAUCGUAUUCAUGGAAGAAGACACCAGGUCAGCAGCUUGGAGCAUUUAAUGCAAACCGAUGCAAUAUGAUACAUCGAAAGAAUCGCAAUUUAGCAUAGGCCAGUAUUGUAACCAACAGUAAACAGUUGAGAAGUGUCGUCAGUAGAACACUGUCCAGAAUUGUCGUUAGAAGAAUACAGUUGUGCAUUCGGUUUAGAAAUUACAUUAAGAAUUAGAAAUCAAAACUUUUUUUUAUGACCAAACGGUCUGAAUAAAGUUUAUCUUACGUUUACUAGUAUGAAGGUGUUUUUCAGACUUUAUCACCCAUGGAAUCGAUUAAUAAGAAAGUUAAGGUAAAAGUGCUUUUUGCCAACAACUCUCCAACAAAAUGAGGACAUUCUACAGUUUACUGGUUCUGGCGAUCGUCGGUCUGGCAGUGGCUUAUCCUGCGGAACAGCAAUCACAGCAGCAAACAGCUGGACCAGCCGUGGAUGUAGUGCAGUUGGUGCCAGUAGAGGAAAGUGAUGCGACAGUUCCGGAAACACUAGAAACGGAAGGUCAACGUUCGAAGCGCCAUCUUGGAUUUGGUGGCGUUGGUAUUGGCGUCGGUGUCGGAUUUGUUGGCGGCGGUGGCUUUGGAGGCUAUCCUGGAGGAUAUGGAUACGGUGGUGGAUUUUAUCCCGGGUAUGGUUACGGUGGAUUCCCGGGUGGUUACGGAUACGGUGGCUAUCGUCGCUAUGGAUACCGGUACGGUGGAUACGGAUAUGGCGGAGGCUUCGGAUCUCCGUACUACUUCUAAGCCGUUGUUGAU